GAUCAUGGCUCAGGAUGAACGCUAGCUACAGGCUUAACACAUGCAAGUCGAGGGGCAGCAUGGUCUUAGCUUGCUAAGGCCGAUGGCGACCGGCGCACGGGUGAGCAACACGUAUCCAACCUGCCGUCUACUCUUGGACAGCCUCCUGAAAGGAAGAUUAAUACAAGAUGGCAUCAUGAGUCCGCAUGUUCACAUGAUUAAAGGUAUUCCGGUAGACGAUGGGG
rnacentral:rRNA from 1 species